AUUGAACGCUGGCGGCAGGCUUAACACAUGCAAGUCGAGCGGGGUGAUGGUGCUUGCACUAUCACUUAGCGGCGGACGGGUGAGUAAUGCUUAGGAAUCUGCCUAUUAGUGGGGGACAACAUCUCGAAAGGGAUGCUAAUACCGCAUACGUCCUACGGGAGAAAGCAGGGGAUCACUUGUGACCUUGUGCUAAUAGAUGAGCCUAAGUCGGAUUAGCUAGUUGGUGGGGUAAAGGCCUACCAAGGCGACGAUCUGUAGCGGGGCUGAGAGGAUGAUCCGCCACACUGGGACUGAGACACGGCCCAGACUCCUACGGGAGGCAGCAGUGGGGAAUAUUGGACAAUGGGGGGAACCCUGAUCCAGCCAUGCCGCGUGUGUGAAGAAGGCCUUAUGGUUGUAAAGCACUUUAAGCGAGGAGGAGGCUUACCUAGUUAAUACCUGGGAUAAGUGGACGUUACUCGCAGAAUAAGCACCGGCCUACUCUGUGCCAGCCGCCGCAGUAA
rnacentral:rRNA from 1 species